UCGCGAAAACUUCGCAAUGGGGGGAAACCCCCGACGAGGGGAAUUCCAAGUGCUAGCACUUUGUGUUAGCUGUUCUUCUGUCUAAAAAACAGGAGAAGUAAGGGGCGGGUAAGACGGGUGCCAGCCGCCGCGGUAAUACCCGCGCCCCGAGUGGUGGUCGAUAUUAUUGAGCCUAAAACGUCCGUAGCCGGUCUUCUAAAUCCUUGGGUAAAUCGGGCAGCUUAACUGUCCGAAUUCCGGGGAGACUGGGAGACUUGGGACCGGGAGAGGUCAGAGGUACUUCUGGGGUAGGGGUAAAAUCCUGUAAUCCUGGAAGGACCACCGGUGGCGAAGGCGUCUGACUAGAACGGAUCCGACGGUGAGGGACGAAGCCCUGGGGCGCAAACGGGAUUAGAUACCCCGGUAGUCCAGGGUGUAAACGCUGCGGGCUUGGUGUUGGGGGUCCUUAGUGGGCGCCCAGUGCCGGAGAGAAGUUGUUAAGCCUGCUGCUUGGGGAGUAUGUCCGCAAGGAUGAAACUUAAAGGAAUUGGCGGGGGAGCACCGCAACGGGAGGAGCGUGCGGUUCGAAUUGGAUUCAACGCCGAAAAACU
rnacentral:rRNA from 1 species